GGUUCGUGUUGAUUAUUUUUUAAUGUUCCUAUGUUGUGUCAUGUGUACUAUUGUUUGUCUGUUUGUCUUUUUCAUUUUUAGCCAUGUCGUUGUCAGUUUAUUUUCGAUUUAUGAGUUUGACUGUCCCUUUGGUAUCUUUCGUCCCUCUUUUAUAGUGAUUAUAACACGGUAUUGACUGUUGUACCUAUAUGUCUUACAAUUUUUUUUUAUUAUGUC
rnacentral:lncRNA from 1 species